GGCUCAGGAUGAACGCAGCGACAGGCCUAACACAUGCAAGUCAGGGGCAGCACAAGGAGCAAUCUGAGGUGGCGACCGGCGCACGGGUGAGUAACACGUAUGCAACCUGCCUGUAAGCGGGGAAUAACCCGUUGAAAGACGGACUAAUACCGCAUAAUACUAAAUUACUAGCAUGGUAAUUUAUUUAAACAUUUAUGGCUUACAGAUGGGCAUGCGCAUGAUUAGCUAGUUGGAGAGGUAACGGCUCCCCAAGGCAACGAUCAUUAGGGGUUCUGAGAGGAAGGUCCCCCACACUGGUACUGAGACACGGACCAGACUCCUACGGGAGGCAGCAGUGAGGAAUAUUGGUCAAUGGACGAGAGUCUGAACCAGCCAAGUCGCGUGCAGGAAGAAUGUCCUAUGGAUUGUAAACUGCUUUUGCAGGGGAAUAAAGUGCAUCACGUGUGAUGUUUUGUAUGUACUCUGCGAAUAAGGAUCGGCUAACUCCGUGCCAGCCGCGGC
rnacentral:rRNA from 1 species